AGGUCUUUUUGAAGAUGGCUCAUGAGGCUUUAGAAGUAGGAGCUCUUAACUCUAUGACCUUGAAAUUUUUCAUAAAAUGCUAUAUUCACUCAAUAAUGUGAAGUUUUUAUGAGGAGAUAUAAGA
ensembl:snoRNA